rnacentral:rRNA from 1 species
UACGUAGGGUGCAAGCGUUAAUCGGAAUUACUGGGCGUAAAGCGCACGCAGGCGGUCUUUUAAGUUUGACGUGAAAGCUCCCGGCUUAACUGGGAGAGGUCGUUGAAGACUGGAAGACUUGAGGCAAUGAGAGGGGUGUAGAAUUCCCGGUGUAGUGGUGGAAUGCGUGGAUAUCGGGGGGAAUACCAGUGGCGAAAGCGGCACCCUAGCGUUAGCCUGACGCUCAUGUGCGAAAGCGUGGGGAGCGAACGGG